CUCAGCAAGUACUGAGAGCAUAUUGAACUAUUUUUUCGCCUUUUGCUAAAGAAUACCGUGUUUCCGCUGCAAUUCAAGCAGCAUACGCCUCUUUUUAGCAUAGCCGAAAACAGCUUG
rnacentral:snRNA from 1 species